UACGGAGGGGGCUAGCGUUGUUCGGAAUUACUGGGCGUAAAGCGCACGUAGGCGGCUUUGUAAGUUAGAGGUGAAAGCCCGGGGCUCAACUCCGGAAUUGCCUUUAAGACUGCAUCGCUCGAAUUGUGGAGAGGUAAGUGGAAUUCCGAGUGUAGAGGUGAAAUUCGUAGAUAUUCGGAAGAACACCAGUGGCGAAGGCGACUUACUGGACACAUAUUGACGCUGAGGUGCGAAAGCGUGGGGAGCAAACAGGG
rnacentral:rRNA from 1 species